GCUGGGCGUGGUGAUGCACGCCUGUAAUCCCAGCUACUCAGGAGGCUGAGUCAGGAGAAUCGCUUGAACCUAGGGGGCAGAGGUUGCAGUGAGUCAAGAUCGCAUCACUGCACUCCAGCCUGGGCAACAGAGUGAUACUCUGUCUCAA
ensembl:misc_RNA Metazoa_SRP Metazoan signal recognition particle RNA